AGACACCACAUCUUGUUAUUUUUCCUUGCCUCCUCCAUUUCCAGAUACACAAGCCAGAUGUGGAGUGGGUGGUGAUGUUAAUUUUCCAUUCAGACCCCGAAACAGCCCUCCUUGGCACCGGGGUUGAAAAAGCCCGGGGCACAGCCCACAGAGACAAUAUAUCUUUUUGAAAAUGUCGUCCCCCCACCCAGUCUUCCUCCAUGAACCCCAUGGCGUGCGUCUCCUGUCUCAGAACCCCAGCACUGUUGAUUGAGCGUCCCAAGAAGGACACACACCCAACUCUUUGAGAACCACGUGCGUCGUCGUGAUGAAUGAGCAUCUUCUCCAUCUUGGAGCAUCUUCAUUAUCCGUCGUUGUGAGUGAGAGCUGGGAAGUCCCACAGGCCCUUGUAGAAGUCACCACCGCUGGCUGGGGUGGGUCUGUCAUUUUAGCAGGUGCAGUGGCUGCCCAGCGCCCCAUCUGUCUCUUCCUCUCCUGUGGCCUCUGUCUUCACAGUGACCUCCUGCCACACCAGAGGCGUUGGGGCACACUGGCCCUGGCUUGGUUCUUAGAGUUCUCUGCAGCAGUUCCAAACAGAAUCUAGAAGAAGCUUGUAAGUUUAUCAGAAAGCAUCCUUUCCUUCCCUCUCUCCU